rnacentral:rRNA from 1 species
AUUGAACGCUGGCGGCAGGCCUAACACAUGCAAGUCGAACGAGUGGCGGACGGGUGAGUAAUGUCUGGGAAACUGCCCGAUGGAGGGGGAUAACUACUGGAAACGGUAGCUAAUACCGCAUACCAUCGGAUGUGCCCAGAUGGGAUUGGCUAGUAGGUGGGGUAACGGCGGACCUAGGCGACGAUCCCUAGCUGGUCUGAGAGGAUGACCAGCGACACUGGAACUGAGACACGGUCAAGACUCCUACGGGAGGCAGCGGUGGGGAAUAUGGCACAAUGGGGGCAAGCCUGAUAGAGCCAUGCCGGGUGUAUGAAGAGGGCCUUCGGGUUGUAAAGUACUUUCAGCGAGGAGGCGUUACUCGCAGAAGAAGCACCGGCUAACUCCGUGCCAGCAGCCGCGGUAAUAC